UACGGAGGGUGCGAGCGUUGUCCGGAAUUACUGGGCGUAAAGGGCUCGUAGGUGGCCAACUAAGUCAUACGUGAAAUCCCUCGGCUUAACCGGGGAACUGCGUCUGAUACUGGAUGGCUUGAGGUUGGGAGAGGGAUGCGGAAUUCCAGGUGUAGCGGUGAAAUGCGUAGAUAUCUGGAGGAAUACCGGUGGCGAAGGCGGCAUCCUGGACCGACAUUGACGCUGAAAACCGAAAGCUAGGGGAGCAAACAGG
rnacentral:rRNA from 1 species